rnacentral:rRNA from 1 species
AACCUCCGCAAUGUGAGAAAUCGCGACGGGGGGAUCCCAAGUGCCAUUCUUAACGGGAUGGCUUUUCUUAAGUGUAAAAAGCUUUUGGAAUAAGAGCUGGGCAAGACCGGUGCCAGCCGCCGCGGUAACACCGGCAGCUCUAGUGGUAGCUGUUUUUAUUGGGCCUAAAGCGUUCGUAGCCGGUUUGAUAAGUCACUGGUGAAAUCCUGUAGCUUAACUGUGGGAAUUGCUGGUGAUACUGUUGAACUUGAGGUCGGGAGAGGUUAGCGGUACUCCCAGGGUAGAGGUGAAAUUCUGUAAUCCUGGGAGGACCACCUGUGGCGAAGGCGGCUAACUGGAACGAACCUGACGGUGAGGGACGAAAGCUAGGGGCGCGAACCGGAUUAGAUACCCGGGUAGUCCUAGCCGUAAACGAUGCGGACUUGGUGUUGGGAUGGCUUUGAGCCGCUCCGGUGCCGAAGGGAAGCUGUUAAGUCCGCCGCCUGGGAAGUACGGUCGCAAGACUGAAACUUAAAGGAAGU